UACGUAGGGUACGAGCGUUAAUCGGAAUUACUGGGCGUAAAGCGUGCGCAGGCGGUUUUGUAAGCCAGAUGUGAAAGCCCCGGGCUUAACCUGGGAAUGGCAUUUGGGACUGCAAGGCUUGAGUGCGGCAGAGGAGACUGGAAUUCCUGGUGUAGCAGUGAAAUGCGUAGAUAUUAGGAGGAAUACCGAUGGCGAAGGCAGGUCUCUGGGCUGACACUGACGCUCAUGCACGAAAGCGUGGGGAGCAAACAGG
rnacentral:rRNA from 1 species